CCUACGGGUGGCAGCAGUGGGGAAUAUUGCGCAAUGGGCGAAAGCCUGACGCAGCGACGCCGCGUGAGGGAUGAAGGUCUUCGGAUCGUAAACCUCUGUCAGCAGGGAAGAACGGUCACUGUGCUAAUAAGCAGUGAAUUGACGGUACCUGCAGAGGAAGCAACGGCUAACUCCGUGCCAGCAGCCGCGGUAGUAAGGAGGGUGCGAGCGUUAAUAGGAAUUAUUGGGCGUAAGGCGCUCGUAGGCGGUAUGUCAAGUUAAGGGUGAAAUCCCCGCGCUCAACGGGGGAACUGCCUUUGAAACUGGCAAACUGGAGUGUGUGAGAGGAUGGUGGAAU
rnacentral:rRNA from 1 species